rnacentral:tRNA from 1 species
GGGCGAUUGGCUCAGUGGUAGAGCGCGUCUCUGAUAAAGACGAGGUCGAUGGUUCGAUCCCAUCAUCGCCCACCA